rnacentral:tRNA from 2 species
CGGAGCGUGGCGCAGCCUGGUAGCGCACUUGCAUGGGGUGCAAGGGGUCGUGGGUUCAAAUCCCGCCGCUCCGACCA